rnacentral:rRNA from 1 species
UACGGAGGGUGCAAGCGUUAAUCGGAAUUACUGGGCGUAAAGCGCACGCAGGCGGUUGAUUGAGUCAGAUGUGAAAUCCCCGGGCUUAACCCGGGAAUUGCAUUCGAAACUGUCAGGCUAGAGUAUGAAAGAGGGAAGCGGAAUUUCCAGUGUAGCAGUGAAAUGCGUAGAUAUUGGAAGGAACACCGAUGGCGAAGGCAGCUUUCUGGGUCAAUACUGACGCUCAUGUGCGAAAGCGUGGGUAGCAAACGGG